AAAAAUACCCCCCUUUUUGCACCAUAGAUUCUCGUAAGCCUUUUCCACAGCUAUUCCCACUGGCAGCUCAGAGUAAUUUUCUCAUGGAGGAAUUCACCCGCACAGGAAGGUCAGAUGAGGAGUCCUAAGGCUACCAGCAUCACCACCUUUCUCUUUUCACUGGGCAGAAGAGGACACACACACAACAGCAAAAAGAGCUGGAAAGAAGGAAAUUGCAAGGUUGUCUGUCGUAGAAACUUAUUUGCAGCCCCGCUGCUGGAGAAAUCCAGGCUUGGUGCACGCCAAUCCAGAGCUAAGCAAUCUUGAGGCAGGUUGGCGUGGGCGGUACAGAGAUCCGAGGGAUGAGGACGGACGCGGGUCAGGAUGGAUUUCGGGACGCGCGGAGAUGCUGUAAGCGGCAACUAUGACGCAAAGCCUGUCCGCUCAGGAUCACGCAUCCAACUGUUCCUCCCUAGCGAUCCCUCGAUAAACAACGUCUAAAAAGGACGGUGACCUCAUUCCAGUGAAAUUAGCCAAACACCACACAUUUCUCCGUGUUCAGCUCCACGCAUUCCUCAGAGCUUCCAGCUCUCCCGGCUCCCUGACCUACCAGCCCCACCGCUUCACCCGCAGCUCUAAAGCCCCCCUGGGCGGCAACUCCUCCAACCCACCCCAGCCCCGGGCUGAUCCCCCCGGCUCCGGCUGAGACCCCCCGAAGCUCUCUGAGCCCCUCCCGCGCCACAGCCGGGAUCUGCCCUGAUCAGGACACCCCGCGAUAAGCGCAGCCCGAUUCAGUCAUUUAUUGAACCUGGCCGACCAAAGCGGCAGGUUCUAUCGGGGGCCAGCGUCCCCCCUUCCCCCGCAGCACGGCCGCCCCCCGCAGCUCCGCAGCCCGGGAGGGAACACCCCGGCCGGUGACUCGGGG